rnacentral:lncRNA from 12 species
GUCUACUUUCAGCUCAGGGUGUAAUUCCAGGAUCCCGGAAUCAAGUCCUGGAUUGGACUCCCUGCAGGGAGCCUGCUUCUCUCUCUGCCUGUGUCUCUGCCUCUCUCUCUCUCUCUCUCUGCAUCUCAUAAAUAAAUAAAUAAAUAAAUAAAUAAAUAAAUAAAUAAAUAAAUAAAUAAAUUCUAGUACCUAAUACCUAAUAGGAUGCUGUCCCUGGACAUGGUGACACAAUACCAGCCCAUUCCCACUUGUUAGAGUUGUCAGCCCCAACACUAUCUCUGCUUUAUGGAGCUGCUGUUAGGGGUCCUCACUAAGCAGACUCUUAGAGCUACCACUACUCCUGUCCCACAAAGAGGCUUAAUUAAGCUCCCAGCUGGGCAUAAGCAAGAUAUCCUGAAGCAGAGAAUGGGUAUAUUCCAGGCUGACUGGUCCAAGUUUAUGUGCUUAGAAACCCUGAGGCUCUGGAAAUAAUACAAGUCUGUUAGAAGACUCUAAGAGUACCAAAAUCAUGCCCCUGCCAAGGUGGAACUGUUACUUCCUUGAUUCAUCCCUAGAUUGUAUUUCAGAUGUCAAAUCUUGGAAGAACCCUGGCUUUCAAGACCAGCCCAUUAGUCUUCAACUUCUUCCUCCAAUCUAUUGAGGGCUCUCCUUUCCCAAUUUACAUGAAUUCUGAAGAUGCCACUAAUCCAGGGAUGAUGCAUAGACAAUACCUCUGUCUACUCACAACAGCUAAACCUGUCCUGGACCAGAUGACCUCUCCAGCCAAACUGCAAGUGGGAGCUAAUAAAUAUCUACUGCUUUAAGCAACUAAGAUUUGGAGUGGUUAUUAU